AAUAUACUCCCUCCGUCCCAAAAUUCUUGUCUCAGAUUUAUCUAGAUACAGUGUACUUACAUCCGUAUCUAGACAAAUCUAAGACAAGAAUUUUGGGACGGAGGGAGUAUUUG
rfam:Triticum urartu cultivar G1812 contig267361, whole genome shotgun sequence.